UCUUUGAACGGUAUAAAUUGGUGCGUUUAUAUACAUACAUAUAUGUUUGAACCUUUAUAAAUUGAUUUUGAACCUUUGAACAUGUAUAACUAGAGAUCGUGUUUCAAAUAAGCAGCUUGAUAUAAGAUGGAUAUAAAUCCCCUGUCCCUGACUCCCUAUUUCUUGUCAUAUUUCUCGCCGCACAAGACCAGUUAUAUAUUUGAGUAUCUAACAUGCGAGAAAAACAUAAAACAGCCAUCGAUUUAAGUUUUUAUUUGUUGAUGACUAUUCUCAAAAGAAUUAUAUUAUGAGACUCUUUGAUUAAGGUUUAUCAUCGUUUGAGAGUGUCUAUCGUUCCACUGUUCAAAUUGGAUUCCGUUGGACAUCAAUAAUGUUAUUUUGUGCCUAAAUUAUUGGGGAAAAAGUAGCAGCUACACUCGGUCACAACAAGGUUUGAGGGGAAGCAUGCUCCUUUUUCAAGUGCCUGUACAUCAUGUAUCUUUGUAGAAACUCUUCACCAUGAAAAGAAUUUAGUGUUCAUUAUCAAGCUGGAAAAAGUGUUUGUGAGCUCUUGGGUGAGGAUCCAGAUGAUGUAGAUGUCACA